AUGCCCCGCAGUAAAAAAGAAAGUAAACCGCCCGCCCGCACGACCUCCUCCUCCUCCUCCCGCAGCCGCGCCGUUCGCCUCCCGCAGCCGCGCCCUUCACCGCCUCCUCGCGCCGCCGGAGCCACGGGAAGCGGCCGCGGGUCGCCGGGAGCCUCCCCGACCGCGGGAGCCCGCCCCGCUCCCGCCGCGGCUCGCCGGGAGCCUCCCCUGCCGCCGAAGCCGCCCCGCCGCAGCUUGGCCUCCGCCACUCCGCCACUCCGCCGGAGCGAGUCUCUCUCCUCUUCUCUUGGGAUGGGACGCCUUCUCUCCUCUGCUCCCAGCCGGAUCCAAUCCACCUCGCCCCGGCAUGCAGCCACGGAAGGCCAGGUCCGUGCGCCUCUUUCCCAUGGCCAUGGAGUCGCCGCAGCCGCCAUGGAAUGCCUGAAUGUCGUCAAGAUGCACGCAGGUGCAGCACCUACACCGAUGGCUGCUCUUGAGACACAGACAACAUAG
rnacentral:rRNA from 1 species